GACGAACGCUGGCGGCGUGCCUAAUACAUGCAAGUUGAGCGCUGAAGGUUGGUACUUGUACCGACUGGAUGAGCAGCGAACGGGUGAGUAACGCGUGGGGAAUCUGCCUUUGAGCGGGGGACAACAUUUGGAAACGAAUGCUAAUACCGCAUAAAAACUUUAAACACAAGUUUUAAGUUUGAAAGAUGCAAUUGCAUCACUCAAAGAUGAUCCCGCGUUGUAUUAGCUAGUUGGUGAGGUAAAGGCUCACCAAGGCGAUGAUACAUAGCCGACCUGAGAGGGUGAUCGGCCACAUUGGGACUGAGACACGGCCCAAACUCCUACGGGAGGCAGCAGUAGGGAAUCUUCGGCAAUGGACGAAAGUCUGACCGAGCAACGCCGCGUGAGUGAAGAAGGGUUUCGGAUCGUAAAACUCUGUUGGUAGAGAAGAACGUUGGUGAGAGUGGAAAGCUCAUCAAGUGACGGUAACUACCCAGAAAGGGACGGCUAACUACGUG
rnacentral:rRNA from 1 species